rnacentral:ncRNA from 1 species
AUCGGAAACGGUGGGGACGGCGGACGGGGAGAAUCUGGGAAGCCGGUGAGAUUCCGGCACAGGCCCGCUGCGGUGAACCGAGCCUCCACUCAUGAGUUGAGCGGAGGACUCGGCAAGUCCGAAGACCGGCCUCCCGCCCGACCAGUCA